GGGCGUUUAGCUCAGUUGGCUAGAGCAUCUCGUUUACACCGAGAGGGUCGGGGGUUCAAGUCCCUCAACGCCCACCA
rnacentral:tRNA from 1 species